CGCACGGGUGAGUAACGCGUGGGUAAUCUGCCUAGUGCGGGGGACAACCUUGGGAAACUGGGGCUAAUACCGCAUAAGCAAGAAAUUGGAAAGGUGGCCUCUACUUGUAAGCUAUCACCACUAGAGGAGCCCGCGUAGUAUUAGUUUGUUGGUGGGGUAAUGGCCUACCAAGACGAUGAUACUUAGCUGGUCUGAGAGGAUGAUCAGCCACACUGGAACUGAGACACGGUCCAG
rnacentral:rRNA from 1 species